AUACGGAGGGAGCUAGCGUUGUUCGGAAUUACUGGGCGUAAAGCGCACGUAGGCGGAUUGGUCAGUUGGAGGUGAAAUCCCAGGGCUCAACCCUGGAACUGCCUUCAAUACUGCCAGUCUAGAGAUCGGAAGAGGUGAGUGGAAUUCCUAGUGUAGAGGUGAAAUUCGUAGAUAUUAGGAGGAACACCAGUGGCGAAGGCGGCUCACUGGUCCGAUACUGACGCUGAGGUGCGAAAGCGUGGGGAGCAAACAGGAUUAGAAACCCCGGUAGUCC
rnacentral:rRNA from 1 species